AUAAACUACUGCUGUUUUUGAAAGUGUCAUAAAGAUACAGGUCGGUUAUGCUGCUCCCCUGGACGGGUUUCCAUUGGUAAUAAAUGGUUUUCUGAGAGAUUUGAGUUAAAGCUCUUAUGUAAAUAGAGAGAGGCUUACAUAAUGCUCUUUAAACUAGAACUUUGAAGACAAUCUGCAGUAGGCAUAUGAAAUCUGUUUGUGCUGCAAAUGGCAUCUGAAAACUGACAGGAAACCAUCCAAGACGCGGUUUAAGAAAACAGGAAGAAUAAACACCCACGGUGCAAACUUCUGAUCAAUCAUUUUACCAAACUUCAACCACGACUAGAGAAUAUGUAAGAAGUGUGUCCUGGGGCUUAUAAUAAUGCCACUAGCCACAGUAUGUUUUCAGGAGCGCCCAAGAACAUUAUUCAUUGUAAAUUUCUAUGUAAAUUAUCCAGGGGCAGGGGCAUUGCUUUGGUCCGCCCAAGAGUCAGAUGGCGCGGGUUCCCUCCCUGUGAGUUUCGACAGUGCAUCAUCUUACGGAAGAGGCUAAACUAGUAUUGAUUUUCCACUUUCUAAAAGGAGUAACCAUUUGGAGCAAAGAGAUCGGAUUCCACUUGAUCUUGGAGUUCGCGAAGUAACUGCCAAGUCAGAGCGUGCGUUCCGCAGUGCGCGGUGGCUGCGCGGCGCUGGCUCUUGCUGUGGGGCAGACAGCAGAGGACCAGGGGCGAGUCGGCAGCGGGAGGAGCCGCCUGGCCAGGAGCCUCGGACAGUGUCUCCCCGUCCCGAACCCCUUCCCGCCACCUCCUCCACCCCCCGCCCCGCAUUCCCCCCGGGGCGACCCUCCCUCCACCUGCGGACUGCCCCAAGGAAUGGAAAACCUGCACUCAGAAGCCACCCCCCACCCCGCCUCUGCCGUAUCUGCUAACUUUGCUAACACUCCCCUUCCCCUGCCUUGUAAGUCACUAUUUACGACCGCGUCGACUCGCGCUCACGCACGCCUGCCCUUUUCUCCAGAAGCCUGAAAGUGGCUGAAUUCAAACACUGACACGUGAAAACUCUAUUCUGAGUGACUUAGAAUCUCCCGCUUUGAGGUUUUAAUCUUGAUCCGCCGGUCCUGCCCAAAGUUCAGAGCAGCUGUCCGAAAGGUCCCCGCAUUUGCUGUCCCUAGGAAAGGUGAGGCUAGGAGGAAGGGGGAGGCAACGCAGGGAAUGUGAGAGGACUGGGGCCACACUGUGUAUCUAGGAGGAAACUCUGAAUCCUAAUCUCAAGAAUCAACCAGCAGCAUCCGGACAAAAAUGCGCCCUCCCUGGACAAUGGCCCGGCCUCCUGCUUCUCGCCCUCGUCUUCCUCCCCCGGAUCCCAGCCAGGACCUGCCUAGGCGCUCUUCGACCACGGAACAUCCCUCCCCGCCACCCCCACCUCCAUCCUUUCCAUAGCAGUCUCUCCCCGGGUCAGUCCAGGGCGCUGGGAAGCCUUAGCUCUCGCUUUCUACCCCCACUGAUCCCCCCACGCGGGCCGAGGCUAGGACACAGGACCUCACUACCGAGUUCGGGGGCUCCCGCAGGGGAGUUCCCUGCAGGGAUUGUGUGGGUGUUUGGAUGGCCCUGAGGAGUAACUCCAGCUUUUUCCAGGGUUAAAAAUAUAUAUAUUAGAAAAAUGCAUUGAGCAGACUACACUUCUCCCCUGCCCAACACACACACACCACACACACACACAUAUUAAUAUAAGCACCCCAGACCGAAGUACUAGGCAUGAUCUCUGACUUUCUUUCACUCUCCCAAGGUUAAUUAAGUUCCCUUCCACGAACUGAGCUCCGUGCCUAUUCAUUAUUCUCUCCCUCUGACCUAGGGCGUUAAUAUGAUCAGGCCUAUGACUCGGCCGUGUUCUGUUUUCCUAUUUUGCAUUUAAUGCUGGGACCCGGCUGCCCUAGAUUACCAUCGAAAACUCUCAGAAAAGACAAGAGGAGCCAGGAGGUCUCCCUGCUCCAAUCUGCCUAAGGCUUCCUCUUCCUGCCUCCUCUUCCGGCCAACGUCUGCCCCUAUGUUCCCAGGACCCAAAUUCUGGAAACCUGUCUUUAAAAAUACAAUCAUCUCUAACUUUAUGAUGUCCAAAAGCUGUCUAGAAUGACAGAUUCGAAACUCUGAGACCUAGCAGAAGAUUUUGGCCCACAGUUAUUACGACUGUGGUUAACUGCUCUCCAGAAAA
rnacentral:lncRNA from 1 species